rnacentral:rRNA from 2 species
GUAGGGAAUCUUCCACAAUGGACGAAAGUCUGAUGGAGCAACGCCGCGUGAGUGAAGAAGGUUCUCGGAUCGUAAAACUCUGUUGUGAGGGAAGAACAAGUACCGGAGUAACUGCCGGUACCUUGACGGUACCUCAUUAGAAAGCCACGGCUAACUACGUGCCAGCAGCCGCGGUAAUACGUAGGUGGCAAGCGUUGUCCGGAAUCAUUGGGCGUAAAGCGCGCGCAGGCGGUCCCUUAAGUCUGAUGUGAAAGCCCACGGCUCAACCGUGGAGGGUCAUUGGAAACUGGGGGACUUGAGUGCAGAAGAGGAAAGCGGAAUUCCAAGUGUAGCGGUGAAAUGCGUAGAGAUUUGGAGGAACACCAGUGGCGAAGGCGGCUUUCUGGUCUGUAACUGACGCUGAGGCGCGAAAGCGUGGGGAGCAAACAGGAUUAGAAACCCGAGUAGUCC